GUCCUCGAUGCUACCAGGAAGGGAGAUACUGGGAGCAGGCCAGCCUUGCCAAAGCCUCUGCGAUGGGACUGUCAGCAGUCAUCUCGCUUCUCAGACAGCCCCAAGAUGUUAAGACUUCUUCAUCCAGAAUUUAGAUCAUCUAAAUGCAAACCCAUGUCCCUCUGGCCUCUUCUUCUUCUUUCAGGUCUAUUUAUUUGCUCUCACG